AUGAUAUUUGAGUAAAUAAAUGUUUUAGUAGGCAUGAAGUAAAACUAUAACUCAUGAGACUGACCUGUUUUAGUAGGCAUGUUUUCUGUUAACUUUAUCCUUGUUAAGCCUGUUAGAUGAGAAAUUGGUUAUUUCUUUGAUCAUCAAAUAAAAGAACUUAAUAUGAUCUAUUAAGAUAAUGUUGCAGGCUGUAGAACGAGAGAAGCAGUUGGGUUGGCCUGUACAGAUAUUGCUAUUAUCUCCGUCGGAAUGUCUACAUCCUGGGCCAGAAAUGGAGGUUUGAACAUAUUAAAAUUUGGUGAAUUCAAGAAAAUUUUCGUAGUUCGAUCAAACAAGUUAACUGAGUUGUUUUUUUUCUUUUAUGGGCACAAUUGUACUAUAAUGCAUAACAAGAAAAUGCCACAUCACAGAAUGAGAUGGAAUAUUGGGUAAAAGAAUAUUCCUCCCCGUGUCAUCUCUUGGAUACGUGGUAAAACAUUAUCCUAUCAAGUAGAA